GCCUACUCUCGCCUACAUUUCAGGCGAGGCAAGGCGCAUCUCAAACAAGCCUAAUGUUUGCCACAAAUCUCAAAUUAGACCACGCCCUCCUGAUCAUCAGUUCGGGCUUAAAAUCGACCUUAAAAUCUUCAAGUGUGUUGCCAGCCUAAAUUUAAGUUUGAAUCGAUCGAAGCUAGUCCAGCGUAAAUGACUCACUCACUCACUCACUCACUCAACUGAAUCAUUUCCUCGCGCAUUCAGCCAUGUGCUCAGCUCCAGGUACUUACUGCUUUUGCCAAUUGUAUGAAAUUAAUAAGUGAAAUAGAAAAAAAAGUGAAAAAUAAGAUCUUAAAUGUUUUCUUUUCUUCAGUUUGAAGAUGAAGCUGCUUUUACAUCGAAAAUACCCAACACUUAUUCAGCACACAUUUGAGUGUUGUGCAGGGGAAGACUGCAGCGGACCACCCACCCACCCCUGCAUGUCUCAAACAGGGUCCAGAGAGAGUAAUUAAGCUGUUUUCUUGGGUCAUACAAGUCUCCCUCGUUAAAACUUAGAGGAGUGACGGGUGGUUGUAUGCUGGAAUACGCCAAAGAAAGCUGGGUCAGCUCGUGAGCCGAAUAAAUUCUUCUGUAAAUGAAGGACAUCAUUCAUAUGAUGAGCAUAGUCAUCGUUGUGUGUGUAGAGUUUCAUCUGUCUCUGUGAAUCUCACAACAUCUGUCAAGAAGGCCCAGGUCAUACUUCAUCCUAAAAUCAACAGAAAAAGACAAAACCAUUAAUCAGGCACUACUUAAAGGGAUAGUCCACCCAAAAAUUAAAAUUCUGUUAUUAUCUAUCCACCAUCAUGUCGUUCCAAUCCUGGGGUGCGUUUCCCAAAACCAUAGUUGCUAACUAAGUUAGCAACUUUGUUGGUUGCAAUGCAAUUUCCCAUUGCCAACCAACUAAGUUGCUAACAGGUUAGCAACUAUGGUUUUGGGAAACGCACCCCUGUAUGACUUUGUUAUGUGGGACAUAAACAAAUGUUAUGUUCUGUGGGAGAUAAACAAAGAUAUUUUAAAGAAUGUUGAAAACUAGA
rnacentral:lncRNA from 1 species